rnacentral:rRNA from 1 species
AAUAGAUCCCGGGUAGUCCACGCCGUAAACGAUGAGUGCUAAGUGUUAGGGGGUUUCCGCCCCUUAGUGCUGCAGCUAACGCAUUAAGCACUCCGCCUGGGGAGUACGGUCGCAAGACUGAAACUCAAAGGAAUUGACGGGGGCCCGCACAAGCGGUGGAGCAUGUGGUUUAAUUCGAAGCAACGCGAAGAACCUUACCAGGUCUUGACAUCCCAUUGACCGCUAUGGAGACAUAGCUUUCCCUUCGGGGACAGUGGUGACAGGUGGUGCAUGGUUGUCGUCAGCUCGUGUCGUGAGAUGUUGGGUUAAGUCCCGCAACGAGCGCAACCCUUGUUCUUAGUUGCCAUCAUUUAGUUGGGCACUCUAAGGAGACUGCCGGUGACAAACCGGAGGAAGGUGGGGAUGACGUCAAAUCAUCAUGCCCCUUAUGACCUGGGCUACACACGUGCUACAAUGGACGGUACAAACGGUUGCCAACCCGCGAGGGGGAGCUAAUCCGAUAAAACCGUUCUCAGUUCGGAUUGUAGGCUGCAACUCGCCUAC